AAAAAUUAUUGUAAUUUUUUAAAUAAAGUAUUAUAAAUUUAAUUAUUGUUAAAGAAAAAAGAAUUUUAGUUAUAGAUUAUUAAGUAUUGUGAAAGAAUUUUUAAAUAGUUGAAAUAAUUAAUAUUAAGAAGAAAAAUUAUUAUUUGUACCUUGUGUAUCAGGGUUCAUUAAAAAUUAUUUAAAUAUUUAAUUUUCCCGAUUUUGAAAGAGUUAAAAAAUUAUAAAUUUUAUUGUUGAAUAAAUAUUUAAAAUAAUUUUUUAGAAGUGAAACGUUAUUCGUUUUCAGAUAUAUCUGGUUUUUAGAGAAAAAAAUUUAAUUUUAAUUAUUAAUAAAGAAAUUAUUUAUUAAGAAGUAAUUUUUAUUUAAUAAUUUAUAUUUUAAGGGAUAAGCUUUAAAAUAAAAGAUUAAAAUUUUAAUUUAUUAAUAAGAAUGUAGGUUUAGAAAUUAUCAUCAUUUAAUUUGUUAUAAUUAAUUUAUUAAAUUAUAUAAUUUAUUAAAGUUUAAUUAUUUUAUCUAAUUUAAUUAAUUAAUUUGAUAUUAUUUGUAAUAAUGAUGAAAUUAGUAUAAUUUAUUUUAUAGGUAUAUUUGUUUGUAAGGUAAUUUAAAGGAAUUCGACAAAUUUAUUUUUCGCCUGUUUAUUAAAAACAUGUCUUUUUGAUAAUGAUUUAAAGUCUAACCUGCCCAUUGAAUUUUAAAAGGCCGCGGUAUUUUGACCGUGCGAAGGUAGCAUAAUAAUUAGUUUUUUAAUUGGAAGCUGGAAUGAAUGGUUGAACGAGAAAAUAGUUGUCUCUAUUUUAAUCAAUUAGAAUUUUAUUUUUAAGUAAAAAAGCUUAAAUUUUUUUAAAAGACGAGAAGACCCUAUAGAGUUUUAUAAAAUUAGAUUUUUAAAUUUUUUAGAAUUAUUUAUUUUAAAUUUUUAAUUUUAUUUUAUUGGGGUGAUAGAAAAAUUUAAUAAACUUUUUUUAUAUAAUAACAUUUAUUAAUGAUUUAUUGAUCCAUUAUUUAUGAUUAUAAGGUUAAAUUACCUUAGGGAUAACAGCGUAAUUUCUUUAGAGAGUUCAAAUCGAAAAAGAAGAUUGCGACCUCGAUGUUGGAUUAAAAUAAAUAUUUGGUGUAGAAGCUAAAUUAAUUAGGUCUGUUCGACCUUUAAAAUUUUACAUGAUCUGAGUUUAAACCGGCGUGAGCCAGGUUGGUUUCUAUCUUUAAAAUUUAUAAAGAUAUUUUAGUACGAAAGGACCAAAUAUC
rnacentral:rRNA from 1 species